rnacentral:rRNA from 1 species
UACGUAGCAGCAAGCGUUGUUCGGAGUUACUGGGCGUAAAGAGUGCGUAGGCGGUCCUGUAAGUUUGGUGUGAAAUCUCCCGGCUCAACUGGGAGGGUGCGCCGAAGACUGCAGGGCUUGAGUAUGGGAGAGGUAAGCGGAAUUCCUGGUGUAGCGGUGAAAUGCGUAGAUAUCAGGAGGAACACCUGUGGUGUAGACAGCUUACUGGACCGCAACUGACGCUGAGACACGAAAGCGUGGGUAGCAAACAGG